UACGGAGAAAAUUAGCUUAGAGAAGGAGAGAGAAUAGAAUUUGAUGUAAUCAACGAUUUAAGUAUUCAUCGGUACGAAUUGUAUCUAUUAUGUCGUAUCAUGUCAAUAAAAUAUCGGCACAAUACAAUCUCAGUGUCAAUAGCACAACUCAAAACUCUCGAUUUUUUAAAUUAGUAAGUAAUUUUCUCAUCGAUUAUCCCUUCGGCAAGUGAAAAAGGGCUUAGUAGUUGGUAUUCAAGGGAUCUCAAGUUCGAAUCCUAAUUGAUUCAUAUUUCUAGCUAAGUUUAUUUCUAAAUAAAAUAAACGAAGCGGGUAGCGUGCUACCUAUCUCUCUCUCUCUCUCUCAAAAAAAAAAGAUAUCUAAGGUCUCAAAUUUGAAGAUCCGUUGCUUCAUAUUUUUAGUUAAAUUUAAUUUUUUAAAAACAAACGAAACGAAUAGUGUAUUAUAUAUCUUUCUCUAAAAAAUAAAGGGUUAUUUUGAAUUGGCUAUCUAAUUUUUAAAAAUUUUGAUAUUAUUAACUUUCAAUUUGUUUGAUUUGAGUAAGUUAAUGAUACUUUGCUUUCAGAAUCUGAAUAAGUCGUUUAUUUUUAUAAAGUCUAGUUAGUAUACUUUGUACAAUUCUGGUAGUUAUAAAUUUAUUAAAGUGAGUAAUUAAUUUAAAUUUUGAAGUAAAAAAGUCUCGUUGAUUGACUUACCUAAACAAAUAGAAGAAUUGGAUAGUUGAUUCAAAAUAGUUCAUAAUUUAUAUUAGUUUUGUA
rnacentral:lncRNA from 1 species